GGAAAAUAGAGGAGAGUCCAAGUCUCUGGGAGGUGCUGAGAUGGCAGCACAAUUCUGAAGACCACAUUCCUGACGGGGGCCCAGAGCAGCCUUUCUCUAGGGAAGUGAGUUCUGAAGAUGAAUUGGCAGGUGAAGAGGCUAAGGAGGCAGGAGAUACUUCCAUAAACUUCAGCUGUCAAGGCCUGGGAGGACUCCCAUUGCUUACCAGUGUGGAGAGGAGAAAAAGGAAGACAGAUGCAGCUAUAAAAAUGCAACUUUGAACUGAAUGCAGAUACAUUUUAUCUAUGAGCCAUUUCCAUUUCAUUCUCCAAGAGCUGGGACAACCAGUUUAUCAAUACCUCAAUUGCUUCAGUGGACAUUGACCAGAGAAUCACUUUUGGAGUCCUAGAAAGAACACCAUUAUUAGGUCCUCCAGUGUCAUUCUAUGGCAUUCAAAGUUCUUUACGUAUAAAUAAAACUGUGUUCAAUAAGCCAACA
rnacentral:lncRNA from 11 species